CCUUCGGACUGGCCCAGGGAGGUCGGCAACGACCACCCAGGGCCGGAAAGUUGGUCAAACUCGGUCAUUUAGAGGAAGUAAAAGUCGUAACAAGGUCUCCGUAGGUGAACCUGCGGAGGGAUCAUUA
rnacentral:rRNA from 2 species